rnacentral:rRNA from 1 species
AUGCAGAGGUGCAACGGCAACGCCAGCGCGUGCAGCUCGUUCAGCAGCAACAGCGCCGGCCUGGGCAGCUCGCGGCACUGCUUCGUCGACGGCCACAGCAGCGUCAAGAGGCGACAGGAAGACCAGUGCGUGCUGGAGCGGAACCGCAGCGCUCGAUACUCGCCGGGGCACCACGCCGACAACGGUAUGCUGCGGUUGUACUUGACCCCGCUGCGGAGCGCCAGCGGCCGGUGCGGCGCCACCGGGCUGCCGCCUAACGGCGGCCCGCAUCCGCGGUCGCAAUCGUUCGCGAGGAGCAUGCUCCGGCUGUACUGA